GACGUAGGGCGCGAGCGUUGUCCGGAUUUAUUGGGCGUAAAGAGCUCGUAGGCGGCUUGUCGCGUCGGCUGUGAAAACCCGCGGCUCAACUGUGGGCGGGCAGCUGAUACGGGCAGGCUGGAGUUCGGUAGGGGAGACUGGAAUUCCGGGUGUAGCGGUGGAAUGCGUAGAGAUCCGGAGGAAUACCAGAGGCGAAGGCGGCCAACUGGACUUGUUCUGACGCUGAGGUGCGAAAGCGUGGGUAGCGAACAGG
rnacentral:rRNA from 1 species